CACCAAUGGGUUGCAACAUUAUGGGAGAACCCAACAUUUGCUGAGGAAAAAUACAAGUCAAAUGUUUCAUAUUAGCUUUUUCUUCUGGACAUGACUCCUAAAUAGAGGACAUUGAUAAAGCUUGGUACAUUUAUUCAUUCAAAAUAAAAACUUGUGUUAUA